rnacentral:rRNA from 1 species
GCAGUCGAACGGCAGCACGGGAGCAAUCCUGGUGGCGAGUGGCGAACGGGUGAGUAAUAUAUCGGAACGUGCCCAGUCGUGGGGGAUAACGCAGCGAAAGCUGUGCUAAUACCGCAUACGAUCUCUGGAUGAAAGCGGGGGACUCGUAAGAGCCUCGCGCGAUUGGAGCGGCCGAUAUCAGAUUAGCUAGUUGGUGGGGUAAAGGCCCACCAAGGCGACGAUCUGUAGCUGGUCUGAGAGGACGACCAGCCACACUGGAACUGAGACACGGUCCAGACUCCUACGGGAGGCAGCAGUGGGGAAUUUUGGACAAUGGGCGCAAGCCUGAUCCAGCAAUGCCGCGUGCAGGAUGAAGGCCUUCGGGUUGUAAACUGCUUUUGUACGGAACGAAAAGGUCUGCCUUAAUACGGUGGGCCCAUGACGGUACCGUAAGAAUAAGCACCGGCUAACUACGUGCCAGCAGCCGCGGUAAUACGUAGGGUGCGAGCGUUAAUCGGAAUUACUGGGCGUAAAGCGUGCGCAGGCGGUUAUAUAAGACAGAUGUGAAAUCCCCGGGCUCAACCUGGGACCUGCAUUUGUGACUGUAUAGCUAGAGUACGGUGGAGGGGGGAUGGAAUUCCGCGUGUAGCAGUGAAAUGCGUAGAUAUGCGGAGGAACACCGAUGGCGAAGGCAAUCCCCUGGACCUGUACUGACGCUCAUGCACGAAAGCGUGGGGAGCAAACAGGAUUAGAUACCCUGGUAGUCCACGCCCUAAACGAUGUC